rnacentral:rRNA from 1 species
CCUUCUCCUUAGUUGCCAGCACGUAAUGGUGGGAACUCUAAGGAGACCGCCGGUGACAAACCGGAGGAAGGUGGGGAUGACGUCAAGUCAUCAUGGCCCUUACGACCAGGGCUACACACGUACUACAAUGGUAGGGACAGAGGGCUGCAAACCCGCGAGGGCAAGCCAAUCCCAGAAACCCUAUCUCAGUCCGGAUUGGAGUCUGCAACUCGACUCCAUGAAGUCGGCAAUGCGAGUAGU